AGGAUAAAACUUUAUAAAUUUAUAAUUUGCACUUAUAAAAAGAGUAACAUUACUCUUAUCUUA
rnacentral:tRNA from 1 species